AUAUGUAUGCGCACACCAUAGUUAGUUAAUUCAGAUUCGAUAAAAAUUCGGUACAGGUAUAAUGCAAAUAAAAUUCGUAUUCUAAUUUUUAAAUUUGUUGAAAAAUACAAUUUGAAAAACAAGUUCGCCAAUUAUUUGGAUACGCAAUUUAUACGAAAAUUACAUAUUCAUUAAUUAAAAAUUCGGGAUCAAAAAUUCGACUAUUAAAUUAAACUUUUUUUCUAGAUUUAUACUACUAGGGUAAAUAGUUAUAAUUCUUAAAAAUAUAAAAAUAAAGAGUUACAAAAUAAAGUAAAUUAAGUAAAAAAAUGAUAGAAAACUAGAGUCCAGCUACUAUACUCUUAUGAGUACGAUUGCUCUCGUACUCAUAAGUUGUUUUCGAUGAUAGAGCUUCCGAAUCGACGAUCCACACCGUUAAAUGUUAUCUAGAGUAUUUAAAAAGUCUAGAAAUCAAAUUUUAUAAUUUUUCGACAUCAUUUACCUUACGAUCAAAAGGCCACAAAAUUGACAAUUUUUAACGACUGGUAUGAGAUAUUUGCUAGUUUAACGGUGUAAAAGAAUCGAAAUCGGUUGAAUUUUUUAUAGAAAAUUCUAUUCACUACAUAGAUAAAGAUUAAUAACUCUGAUCUUAAAUUGAAGGAUCCGAUCAUCCAUUUUUAAGACGUCGUUCGAUUUUGACCGUUCAUUUUAUACCCACUUGAUCAAUGAACCUUAUUAUGAUUUCAAAAAAUUACAAAACUUAUUUUCUAGAAGUUUAAAAUACUCUAGAUCAUAUUUAAUAGAGUAGAUCGUCGAUUCAGAAUCCCUAUUAUCGAAAAUAAUUUAUGAGUACGAAUGACUCUAUACUCAUAAGAGUAUAGUAGCCCUAGCCUAGAAAACUAUAUUAUAAAUUAUGAUGUAUAAACAAUCAAGAAAGAAAGAGAUUAAAAUAGUCGAUAAUUAAAACAUAAAAUAUAUAAGAUUUUUUUUUAGGGCGAGCGAGCAGAGAAUUCAUACUUAAAUAUAAAAUAUAAGUUAACUCAUACUUAAACAAAAAAUAUAUAUAAAGUCUUUUAUUCAGAUUUUCAAUAAUUCAUGAAUAAUUUACGAUUAAUUAGCGAAUAAUUCGGCUAGCCAAAAAAUUCACAUUUUAUUCCGUUUUCUAGGGAAAAAAUCACCUACGGACUUAUUUUAUUCGAAUUUUCAAUAAUUCGCGAAUAAUUGACGAAUUAACUAACAAACGCUUACAUUAGACCAAGCAAAUU
rnacentral:lncRNA from 1 species